GCCAGGCGUGGUGGCUCACGUCUGUAAUCCCAGCACUGUGGGAGGCUGAGGCAGGUGGGUCGCCUGAGGUCAGGAGUUCGACAACAGCCUGGCCAAAAUGGUGAAACCCUGUCUCUU
ensembl:misc_RNA Metazoa_SRP Metazoan signal recognition particle RNA